AUAUAUAAAUUUAACAUAAUUUAAAAUAUUGAUUUUGUAAAUCAAAAUUGAAUAACUUAAGCUUCCAAAGCUUAUAUUUA
rnacentral:tRNA from 1 species